GCCUAAAGCGUCCGUAGCCGGCUCUGUAAGUUUUCGGUUAAAUCCAUAUGCUCAACAUAUGGGCCGCCGGAAAUACUACAGAGCUAGGGAGUGGGAGAGGUAGACGGUACUCCGUAGGAAGGGGUAAAAUCCUUUGAUCUAUGGAUGACCACCUGUGGCGAAGGCGGUCUACCAGAACACGUUCGACGGUGAGGGAUGAAAGCUGGGGGAGCAAACCGGAUUAGAUACCCGGGUAGUCCCAGCUGUAAACUAUGCAAACUCAGUGAUGCAUUGGCUUGUGGCCAGUGCAGUGCCGCAGAGAAGUCGUUAAGUUUGCCGCCUGGGAAGUACGUACGCAAGUAUGAAACUUAAAGGAAUUGGCGGGGGAGCACCACAAGGGGUGAAGCCUGCGGUUCAAUUGGAGUCAACGCCAGAAAUCUUACCCGGAGAGACAGCAGGAUGAAGGUCAAGCUGAAGACUUUACCAGACAAGCUGAGAAGUGGUGCAUGGCCGUCGCCAGCUCGUGCCGUGAGGUGUCCUGUUAAGUCAGGUAACGAGCGAGAUCCUUGCUUCUAGUUGCCACCAUUACUCUCAGGAGUAGUGGGGCGAAUUAGCGGGACUGCCGUAGUUAAUACGGAGGAAGGAGAGGGCCACGGCAGGUCAGUAUGCCCCGAA
rnacentral:rRNA from 1 species